rnacentral:rRNA from 1 species
AUUGAACGCUGGCGGCAGGCCUAACACAUGCAAGUCGAACGGUAACAGGAAACAGCUUGCUGUUUCGCUGACGAGUGGCGGACGGGUGAGUAAUGUCUGGGAAACUGCCUGAUGGAGGGGGAUAACUACUGGAAACGGUAGCUAAUACCGCAUAACGUCGCAAGACCAAAGAGGGGGACCUUCGGGCCUCUUGCCAUCGGAUGUGCCCAGAUGGGAUUAGUUAGUAGGUGGGGUAACGGCUCACCUAGGCGACGAUCCCUAGCUGGUCUGAGAGGAUGACCAGCCACACUGGAACUGAGACACGGUCCAGACUCCUACGGGAGGCAGCAGUGGGGAAUAUUGCACAAUGGGCGCAAGCCUGAUGCAGCCAUGCCGCGUGUAUGAAGAAGGCCUUCGGGUUGUAAAGUACUUUCAGCGGGGAGGAAGGGAGUAAAGUUAAUACCUUUACUCAUUGACGUUACCCGCAGAAGAAGCACCGGCUAACUCCGU